AAGCUACUAAGAGCGAAUGGUGGAUGCCUUGACUGGUAAAGGCGAUGAAGGACGUACUAGACUGCGAUAAGCUACGGGGAGCUGUCAAGAAGCUUUGAUCCGUAGAUUUCCGAAUGGGGCAACCCAAUGUAUAGAGAUAUACAUUACCUAUAUAGGAGCGAACGAGGGGAAUUGAAACAUCUUAGUACCCUCAGGAAAAGAAAUCAAUAGAGAUUGCGUCAGUAGCGGCGAGCGAAAGCGCAAGAGGGCAAACCCAGUGCUUGCACUGGGGGUUGUAGGACUGCAAUGUGCAAGAGGUAAGUUUAGCAGAACAUUCUGGAAAGUAUAACCAUAGAGGGUGAUAGUCCCGUAUGCGAAAAACAAACCUUAGCUAGCAGUAUCCUGAGUAGGGCGGGACACGAGGAAUCCUGUCUGAAUCCGGGUCGACCACGAUCCAACCCUAAAUACUAAUACCAGAUCGAUAGUGCACAAGUACCGUGAGGGAAAGGUGAAAAGAACUGAGGUGAUCAGAGUGAAAUAGAACCUGAAACCAUUUGCUUACAAUCAUUCAGAGCCCUAUGUAGCAAUACAGGGUGAUGGACUGCCUUUUGCAUAAUGAGCCUGCGAGUUGUGGUGUCUGGCAAGGUUAAGCAAACGCGAAGCCGUAGCGAAAGCGAGUCUGAAUAGGGCGCUUAGUCAGAUGCUGCAGACCCGAAACGAAGUGAUCUAUCCAUGAGCAAGUUGAAGCUAGUGUAAGAACUAGUGGAGGACUGAACCCAUAGGCGUUGAAAAGCCCCGGGAUGACUUGUGGAUAGGGGUGAAAGGCCAAUCAAACUUCGUGAUAGCUGGUUCUCUCCGAAAUAUAUUUAGGUAUAGCGUUGUGUCGUAAUAUAAGGGGGUAGAGCACUGAAUGGGCUAGGGCAUACACCAAUGUACCAAACCCUAUCAAACUCCGAAUACCUUAUAUGUAAUCACAGCAGUCAGGCGGCGAGUGAUAAAAUCCGUCGUCAAGAGGGAAACAACCCAGACUACCAGCUAAGGUCCCUAAAUCUUACUUAAGUGGAAAACGAUGUGAAGUUACUUAAACAACCAGGAGGUUGGCUUAGAAGCAGUCAUCCUUUAAAGAAAGCGUAAUAGCUCACUGGUCUAGUGAUUUUGCGCGGAAAAUAUAACGGGGCUAAAGUAAGUACCGAAGCUGUAGACUUGCACACAACUUAGAUUAUUUAAGUUUAGAAUAUGAGAAACUAAGUUAUAUGUUUAGUUAUAUUUUUACUGAUUUUUAUAGAGUAAAGAUAGAAAUAAAACUUAGUAAAAUCAGUAAAAAUAUUCUUAGACUAAAGUUAAGUAGUUUAAGUUGUGUGCAAGUGGUAGGAGAGCGUUCUAUUUGCGUCGAAGGUAUACCGGUAAGGAGUGCUGGAGCGAAUAGAAGUGAGCAUGCAGGCAUGAGUAGCGAUAAUUAAUGUGAGAAUCAUUAACGCCGUAAACCCAAGGUUUCCUACGCGAUGCUCGUCAUCGUAGGGUUAGUCGGGUCCUAAGUCGAGUCCGAAAGGGGUAGACGAUGGCAAAUUGGUUAAUAUUCCAAUACCAACAUUAGUGUGCGAUGGAAGGACGCUUAGGGCUAAGGGGGCUAGCGGAUGGAAGUGCUAGUCUAAGGUCGUAGGAGGUUAUACAGGCAAAUCCGUAUAACAAUACUCCGAGAACUGAAAGGCUUUUUGAAGUCUUCGGAUGGAUAGAAGAACCCCUGAUGCCGUCGAGCCAAGAAAAGUUUCUAAGUUUAGCUAAUGUUGCCCGUACCGUAAACCGACACAGGUGGGUGGGAUGAGUAUUCUAAGGCGCGUGGAAGAACUCUCUUUAAGGAACUCUGCAAAAUAGCACCGUAUCUUCGGUAUAAGGUGUGGUUAGCUUUGUAUUAGGAUUUACUCCGAAAGCAAGGAAACUUACAACAAAGAGUCCCUCCCGACUGUUUACCAAAAACACAGCACUCUGCUAACUCGUAAGAGGAUGUAUAGGGUGUGACGCCUGCCCGGUGCUCGAAGGUUAAUUGAUGGGGUUAGCAUUAGCGAAGCUCUUGAUCGAAGCCCGAGUAAACGGCGGCCGUAACUAUAACGGUCCUAAGGUAGCGAAAUUCCUUGUCGGUUAAAUACCGACCUGCAUGAAUGGCGUAACGAGAUGGGAGCUGUCUCAAAGAGGGAUCCAGUGAAAUUGUAGUGGAGGUGAAAAUUCCUCCUACCCGCGGCAAGACGGAAAGACCCCGUGGACCUUUACUACAGCUUGACACUGCUACUUGGAUAAGAAUGUGCAGGAUAGGUGGGAGGCUUUGAGUAUAUGACGCCAGUUGUAUAUGAGCCAUUGUUGAGAUACCACUCUUUCUUAUUUGGGUAGCUAACCAGCUUGAGUUAUCCUCAAGUGGGACAAUGUCUGGUGGGUAGUUUGACUGGGGCGGUCGCCUCCCAAAUAAUAACGGAGGCUUACAAAGGUUGGCUCAGAACGGUUGGAAAUCGUUCGUAGAGUAUAAAGGUAUAAGCCAGCUUAACUGCAAGACAUACAAGUCAAGCAGAGACGAAAGUCGGUCUUAGUGAUCCGGUGGUUCUGUGUGGAAGGGCCAUCGCUCAAAGGAUAAAAGGUACCCCGGGGAUAACAGGCUGAUCUCCCCCAAGAGCUCACAUCGACGGGGAGGUUUGGCACCUCGAUGUCGGCUCAUCGCAUCCUGGGGCUGGAGCAGGUCCCAAGGGUAUGGCUGUUCGCCAUUUAAAGCGGUACGCGAGCUGGGUUCAGAACGUCGUGAGACAGUUCGGUCCCUAUCUGCCGUGGGCGUAAGAAGAUUGAAGAGAUUUGACCCUAGUACGAGAGGACCGGGUUGAACAAACCACUGGUGUAGCUGUUGUUCUGCCAAGAGCAUCGCAGCGUAGCUAAGUUUGGAAAGGAUAAACGCUGAAAGCAUCUAAGCGUGAAGCCAACUCUAAGAUGAAUCUUCUCUAAGCUCUCUAGAAGACUACUAGUUUGAUAGGCUGGGUGUGUAAUGGAUGAAAGUCCUUUAGCUGACCAGUACUAAUAGAGCGUUUGGCUUAUCU
rnacentral:rRNA from 1 species